AGAGAGCUGGGGAGGAAGAAGAGGAAGAUUGGACUGGUAAGAGCAGGUCAAAAAUAAGAUAAACAAUCACUGUUUUGAUCCAAUUAUGGGCAGGAAAGGCAAGGAGAAGCAAUAUUGUGUAGAAGGCCACUAUGUAUGGGCUGGGUUGCCAGAUGCAGCACAAGCGAAGACAUCAGAGAAUCCAAUUGACUGGAUGACAUUGAAUGGAACCAAUGUAGCAGCAGCACCCACAACUCUUUCCACAAUCUAUGGAAAAGUGCACAAGAAUCUUGAAACUGACCAAGAAAUAUGGGUUGAGUGGGACUGGAUCCAGUAAGAUAAUUGACAGUCACCUUUUCUGUUAUAUGUUCACUCUCUCUGAGGAUGAGGUGUAAUUCUCUGUGGUCAGCUGUCAUUCCACCAUAUCCUUCAGAACUGUGGAACAUAUUGAUAUAUGGUCAGAGAAUGCUGAUGGACAUCAAAUCAAACAUUAGGUUUGUAUGUCAGUUGAUCUUUCCACAUCAAUAGGAUGCAUUGUUUGCAUUACAACACAUUUGCACAAUUCUGGAUUUUCUCUAGGUGUUUCCAUCUCCUAGCCUAGUCUGACCUUUACUCUGUUCCAGCUGGCACUCCUACCUGGGUCUCUGUAACUCAUCCCAAAAUGUCUCCCUUAAAUCAAGCCACUCUGCUAAUUUGGACACUGAAAAGAGACAAUCACAACAUGUUGGCAAAUAUAUUCACAAAUAACUCAUUAUUCAAAUGUAAUAAAUCCACAGAUAACUCUGACAAUUUACAGGUGUUGAAGACACCAGUGAAUGGGUAAUUUUGUGUACAAUCUCUCUGGAACAGUCCAGCGCGCACGUGACUAUUCCACCUUUCCAUUGCCGUCUUUACUCUGAAGUUCUUAUGGUAAUAUCAGCAUCUGCAAUGAUGACCUGACAUUCAGGAACAUGGACAUGAGCGAGAUCCUAGAAUCAUCCUGCAGUGACACGGAAGGCAAGGAGAGUGAAGAGAAGGAAGCGCUAAGGGUGGUCACACCCUAGUGGAUUCCUACCUACUCGAAUACCCCAACAACAUCCUGUCGGUCCCCAUGCCAGACCUAUCUCAGCUCACACUCUCCUCCCAUGACACCUCUCAGGUGCCACGAGUUCCAUUCCAAGCCUUGGCCAUGGUUGAGCCAGACAGAGUACCCUCCAACAUCACAAGACCUCCACCCAUCAUCACAAAAGGACUGCAUAAGAACCGCAUAACUGAUUCGAGGCUGAGGAAGAGAUACCUGCAGCCACUGGACAGAAGAGGAAAUAUAUGAGCGAAUCAGAGGACAAGGAGUCAGAACCAGUUCCAGAGAACAAGGUGCAAGGGGAAAAUAACAAGAUGCUAACCAUCGCAGAUAUGAAAAACCUGGGAGGACUUGGCGAUAAAAAUCUGAUCUGAUAUAUUAUGACACAAAGGCAAAAAAAUAUAUAUAUAUUUUCCAUGUGGGUCUGACUGAUGACACAGCCAGUAUCAAAGUCACUGUAUAUGAGAAGGAGUGAUGCGACUUAUUCCAAAAGGGAAGCUUUUACCAGUUCAAAGCCCUCAUUGUGGAAGGGGAUAUAGUGAAGGUCACAAAAAAAGGAAAAGUGUCCAAAACAAGCCAAUUAGAAGUUCCUCAGAGGCUGGAGUUGGAGGCAAGAAUGCUCAUUGAUCCGGCCCACCAUCCAAUCUGCUCCAUCACUGAUGUCAAGGCCUCUUACCCAGGCAGCUAGAUGAGCAUUGAUGGAACUGUUAUUGAUAAGACACCUGUGAGUAAAGUGAAUGUGAAAAAGGAGAGCACCAGGAAGUUGAUUGAGCGCCACAGCAUGACCUUGCAGGAUGAGACUGGUUCUUUUGAGGUCUGUCUCUGGAGAGAGCAGGCCCGCAACUGCAGUGCUUUGGUUGGAGAUGCCGUAAGGGUGACCAAUGUGUACUCCAGUGAGUACUUUGACAGUAUUUCUCUCAACUCAACUGGAAGAACCAGUGUUUAUAAGGUCCAGCCUGCUGCUUUGGAGACUGUGAGGCUGUCUAUUGAAGCAAUUGAAAAGUGUACUAAGAUGGGGGUGACCAUGGAAACAGACAGAUGGAAAGCUGAGACCCUUCAUUGUAGCAUCGGAGAUCCUGGUACAGACCUAUGGCAUUAAACUUGAGGGAGACUUUGAAGAGAGGCUUCUUAAGAUAAUGCCACCUUUUGCAGAGGCAAAAAUACAAGGCAAUAGAAUUACAACUCUCAAAGAUUGAAGUCCAUCCUGAAUGAGAAAAGGUUUGGUGAAUGGACCAGGAGACAUCCCAUCCACCAGAACCAGUGAGUUCGGAUCAGUCUGAUUCUCUGUGCUCUGAGUCGGACCAGCUUGAGGACCUAGGGGUUCUGUCCAACACCCAGAUGUGGAUCCACCUGAUGUCCUCCAUUACCAACCACCCUACCAACUUUUCAUUACAUCAUCUACAGCUACUGUUGUCAUGUUCUGCUAAGAAAGUUCUUGCUCUAUUAUACUGGGUACAUAAAUACGUGAAAUACACACAUGAUUAAAAACACUAGCACUGCAAACACAAAGAGAGCAGCAGUGCCUGGACUUUGCAGUCCCCCUUCUUCAAGUCCCCCUUCUGAGACUGGCUGCCUGAUGAGAACAAGUGACAGGCAGAACCUCUCACCGACACAGCAACCACCUCCUCUAUAUCCCACACAUCAGAAUUCAGUAUUUUAGUCUGAUUGCCAUGUGAGUGUACAAACAAAUGUGAAAAUAAAUUAAUGACGAACUUU